GAUGAACGCUAGCUACAGGCUUAACACAUGCAAGUCGAGGGGAAACGACAUCGAAAGCUUGCUUUUGAUGGGCGUCGACCGGCGCACGGGUGAGUAACGCGUAUCCAACCUGCCCACCACUUGGGGAUAACCUUGCGAAAGUAAGACUAAUACCCAAUGAUAUCUCUAGAAGACAUCUGAAAGAGAUUACAGAUUUAUCGGUGAUGGAUGGGGAUGCGUCUGAUUAGCUUGUUGGCGGGGUAACGGCCCACCAAGGCAACGAUCAGUAGGGGUUCUGAGAGGAAGGUACCCCACAUUGGAGCUGGGACACGGUCCAAACUCCUGAGGGACGCAGCAGUGAGGAAUAGGAGUCAAUGGACGAGAGUCUGAACCAGCCAAGUAGCGUGCAGGAAGACGGCCCUAUGGGUUGUAAACUGCUUUUAUAAGGGAAUAAAGUGAGUCUCGUGAGACUUUUUGCAUGUACCUUAUGAAUAAGGACCGGCUAAUUCCGUG
rnacentral:rRNA from 1 species